GACGAACCGUCCUAACGUUGUUCGGAAUCACUGGGCUUAAAGGGCGCGUAGGCGGGCUGCCAAGUCCGGGGUGAAAUCUUUCGGCUCAACCGGAAAAUAGCCUUGGAUACUGGCAGUCUCGAGUGAGGUAGGGGCGGGUGGAACUUCCGGUGGAGCGGUGAAAUGCGUUGAUAUCGGAAGGAACGCCGGUGGCGAAAGCGACCCGCUGGACCUCUUCUGACGCUGAGGCGCGAAAGCCAGGGGAGCAAACGGG
rnacentral:rRNA from 1 species